ensembl:lncRNA
GCCACCAAGUGCUAAAUAUACCGAAGAGCAUUGCUUUGCUGCAGAUAUCUGCAGUGGUAUAGCAGGAGAAAGGAAUCUCGUGUGAACUCCAGAGCCAGGGUGUAAGUUUUGCAAGGACAGCUGUUAUCCUGGCCAGAGAAUGCUUAGAAGAUUAUAUCCACUAAGUUUAUUUAGCCAGGAAUACUGAUCCCAGAAGGACACGGAUGCCCAAACAAGGAAGAGCUCCCGCUGUGACGCCCGUACUUUGCUGUAAGUGGAGGUGCUUUGCCAUGGAAGUGUUCUCCAUUUGCCACCACUGCUCUUGUGUAAGAGGUGAAAAAGCCCCUGCUGCUCUGAGACUGCAGCUGGGCAGGGGAGGAACGAUGCUGCGAAAGAAAACUCGUGAGCGAUGAUAAAAUGGAGAAACUCACCUUGAACUGCAUUGCUAGGGUGUGUCUCUUGGAAUACAGCCACACUGGAAAGGAAC